CCAGGUAGAAACCAAUGAAGAUGAGUUUAGCUGUACUCCAGCUGCCUUUAGAUUAUGUCAGUCAAUGAAGAUAGUUUUAGCUGUACCCCAGCUGCUUGUGGUUUUUGCCUGUAUCAACCCUUGUCACCCCAUGCCUCGGCAGAACGGUCUAUCUUAUCCUGUAGGAUUCACCACUUUUCCAAUUUAAGUUGUUUUAUAUUCUCAAUAAAUCUCUCUAAUAUAAAGUUUUUCAAAGUCAGAGUUUUACUAUUGGUCAUUUCUCUGGCGUAGCCAGCAAGAUCCGAAGAUGCCUACCAGCAGUGGUUCCAAGCAGUUGGGAACUCGGAGCUUCUGUGCCAGCACAAGCCCUUUGCACUCAUCCAUCUACGCGGACUCCCCAGAGCCAUCCCAGCAUGGUGAAGACGCCUGUGGUGGUGCCCAGCUAUCCAUCUGAUGACAUCUGAACCCUGUCACCCAUUUGAUAGCAUCCAGGGUCUUAAACAGCUUAAAAGGUCUCUGUUGUAAGAGGGACCACCAGAAGCAUCGGACUACUCCACCAUCUUGGCCCCGCCUCCUCCAUGGUUGUUAAUUGUUGACCCAAGGAGAAUAAAUCAUUGACAACUUCAUUUUUUUCUCCAUUCAUCAUGAUGUUGUUUAUCAGUCUAGUUGUAUUUUCAUUUUCUUCAUGUUCAGGUGUAUUCCAUAGGCAGUAUGGACUACACUUGCAGGCCACCAAAGCACUGUUCAGUUCUAGGUUAAUGUUAGAGCCCAUCAUGAAAGAGACUGGGCAGAAAAGAAACCACUGGCUUUCAUCGGCGAUGAUUUGGUUUUCAGGCUUUGGGGAAGAGUGGUUGUUUAAGUCCAUUGCAUCAGGGAAGGGUGGAUUUGAAGAUGAAGAUUAAAACCUUAUUGUACUAUUGCUUAUGGUUUUCCUGUGCACUACAUGGCCAUGGGUUUAGUUGACAUACCCUUUUCUGCUAGAAUUCACUGACAUUUUCUCCUGCUGAUUGCUGGGUACUACUACUGAAUAAAAUAUUUAUCUUUAAACAAGCAUGAGUAUAUUUAAUUUCCUUCAGAUGUUUUAUUUUGUUAUGUGCUUUGUCUCAGUUCUUAUUGAAAUAACUGUCCACUUGUACUAUGGCUAUCUGUAUAGAAACAUACUAUUUUGGCGGUUGUUUUAUUUUUAUGUAUUUGCUUUGGUUGUAUGUACUGGGUAGAAUUUAGGCACAUUAAUCAUUUUCCAGUAAAUUUCUGUGAUUUAUUACCUGCCAUGAGCACUUAUACCACUGUAUUUCUUUUUAGCUACUUUUUCCAGGGUUAGCAGAAUAUUGCUGUAUAUCCAGAACUGAUGAUUUUCUUCAAGAUUCUUGUAUAUCAUGUACCAUAUUUACAUGAUAAAAUGUUUGCCCAUACAAAUAAACUUUAAAAUUAUUUAAAAUAUAUGUGUAUGAAAAAGUGCCUGUUUAAUUUUCCAAAUCAUGUUCCUGUAGAGUUGAAAUAUCUCUUAAACUCUUACCUGUUUUAUAUGUCACUGUAUAUGGUAUCUACCAAAUUAGCAAAGAUUAAAAACACCAAUACUACUCAGUAUUGGUGAGAGCACUGUCAUGUACCAUUGGUGGGAAUAUAAAUUGGCACAUCUUGUCUAAAGGGCAGUUACAUGGUGUACAUGGUAAGCCUUAAAAAUGAGAAUAGCCUUUAACCUAGCAAUGUUGCUUACAAGAAUUCAUCCUGAUUACAGUAGUCAUCUCAAUACUAUUGAUAGUUGCAAAAAAUA